GCCUUCGUGGCGUAAUGGCUAGCACACUCGGCGCGUAUUCGAGAAGUCUAGGUUCGAAUCCCGGCGAGGGCA
rfam:Stegodyphus mimosarum contig52100, whole genome shotgun sequence.